rnacentral:rRNA from 1 species
AUUGAACGCUGGCGGCAGGCCUAACACAUGCAAGUCGAGCGGGGUUUUCGGACCUAGCGGCGGACGGGUGAGUAAUGCGUAGGAAGCUGCCCGAUAGAGGGGGAUACCAGUUGGAAACGACUGUUAAUACCGCAUAAUGUCUACGGACCAAAGUGUGGGACCUUCGGGCCACAUGCUAUCGGAUGCGCCUACUUGGGAUUAGCUAGUUGGUGAGGUAAGGGCUCACCAAGGCGACGAUCUCUAGCUGGUUUGAGAGGAUGAUCAGCCACACUGGAACUGAGACACGGUCCAGACUCCUACGGGAGGCAGCAGUGGGGAAUAUUGGACAAUGGGCGCAAGCCUGAUCCAGCCAUGCCGCGUGUGUGAAGAAGGCCUUCGGGUUGUAAAGCACUUUCAGCGAGGAGGAAGGGUGGUGUGUUAAUAGCACAUCAUUUUGACGUUACUCGCAGAAGAAGCACCGGCUAACUCUGUGCCAGCCGCCGCGGUAACAC